UACGUCCAUAUUGAGUCAAAACACCGGUUCUUGUACGAUCAUCGAAGUUAAGCAAUGUCGAGCCUGGUUGAGUACCUAGAUGAGUAACCGCUUGGGAAUACCAGAGGCUGUAAG